AGAGUUUGAUCCUGGCUCAGGACGAACGCUGGCGGCGCGCCUAACACAUGCAAGUCGAACGAGCGAGAGAGAGCUUGCUUUCUCGAGCGAGUGGCGAACGGGUGAGUAACGCGUGAGGAACCUGCCUCAAAGAGGGGGACAACAGUUGGAAACGACUGCUAAUACCGCAUAAGCCCACGGGUCGGCAUCGACCAGAGGGAAAAGGAGCAAUCCGCUUUGAGAUGGCCUCGCGUCCGAUUAGCUAGUUGGUGAGGUAACGGCCCACCAAGGCGACGAUCGGUAGCCGGACUGAGAGGUUGAACGGCCACAUUGGGACUGAGACACGGCCCAGACUCCUACGGGAGGCAGCAGUGGGGAAUAUUGCACAAUGGGGGAAACCCUGAUGCAGCGACGCCGCGUGGAGGAAGAAGGUCUUCGGAUUGUAAACUCCUGUUGUUGAGGAAGAUAAUGACGGUACUCAACAAGGAAGUGACGGCUAACUACGUGCCAGCAGCCGCGGUAAAACGUAGGUCACAAGCGUUGUCCGGAAUUACUGGGUGUAAAGGGAGCGCAGGCGGGAAGACAAGUUGGAAGUGAAAUCCAUGGGCUCAACCCAUGAACUGCUUUCAAAACUGUUUUUCUUGAGUAGUGCAGAGGUAGGCGGAAUUCCCGGUGUAGCGGUGGAAUGCGUAGAUAUCGGGAGGAACACCAGUGGCGAAGGCGGCCUACUGGGCACCAACUGACGCUGAGGCUCGAAAGUGUGGGUAGCAAACAGGAUUAGAUACCCUGGUAGUCCACACCGUAAACGAUGAUUACUAGGUGUUGGAGGAUUGACCCCUUCAGUGCCGCAGUUAACACAAUAAGUAAUCCACCUGGGGAGUACGACCGCAAGGUUGAAACUCAAAGGAAUUGACGGGGGCCCGCACAAGCAGUGGAGUAUGUGGUUUAAUUCGACGCAACGCGAAGAACCUUACCAAGUCUUGACAUCCCUUGACGAUGCUGGAAACAGUAUUUCUCUUCGGAGCAAGGAGACAGGUGGUGCAUGGUUGUCGUCAGCUCGUGUCGUGAGAUGUUGGGUUAAGUCCCGCAACGAGCGCAACCC
rnacentral:rRNA from 1 species